UACAGAGGGUGCUAGCGUUGUUCGGAAUCACUGGGCGUAAAGCGCGUGUAGGCGGCCUGGUAAGUCGGAUGUGAAAGCCCUUGGCUCAACCAAGGAAGUGCAUCCGAUACUGUCAGGCUUGAGUGUCGGAGGGGGUGGCGGAAUUCCCGGUGUAGAGGUGAAAUUCGUAGAUAUCGGGAGGAACACCCGUGGCGAAGGCGGCCACCUGGACGACUACUGACGCUGAGACGCGAAAGCGUGGGGAGCAAACAGG
rnacentral:misc_RNA from 1 species